rnacentral:tRNA from 1 species
CGGCACGUAGCGCAGCAUGGUAGCGCACCGUCAUGGGGUGUCGGGGUCGGAGGUUCAAAUCCUCUCGUGCCGACCA